rnacentral:hammerhead_ribozyme from 1 species
AUCCAUCUGACGAGUCCCAAAUAGGACAAAACACCGCGUCUUGGAU